GCCCGGGCGGAGGGGUAACCAGCCCCGGCGGAGAGGCGGAGGAGCAGCCGGAAACGGGCGAGCGCGGCAGCCCGGGGACAGCCUGGACGGCGGCUUCGGGAAUCGCCUCGUCUCAGCCGGCCCCCCCUCUUUAUUUGCCUCCGCCCCUUCUCCCCUCCUCCCUCUCUCCUCGCGUCCUAAAACGCGGCGGCGCCUUUAAGAGGGAGCUUUGGUUACCCCGGGGGCGGGAACCCCUCGGCAGAUUGGGAGGCGGCGGCGCUCGCCCGCGAUGCUCCUCACUUUCGGCUCCAGCUCCCGCCGCCGCCGCCGCCUGGGUCGCCACCACCGCCUCCUCCGCUUCCUCCUCUUCCUCGAAGCGUCGUUUUUCUGCGGCAGAGAGAAGUGCUAUGUCAGGAAAGUUCCGGGAGGGACUGGAUGGGGCCAUGCUCCCUGGGUUCUUCUGCAGGCGCCCGCGCGCAGCCCUUUGUAUGAGGCAAAAGGACUGCUAUGGAAGAUGGAGCUCUUUGUCCGUUUUCCAGAAUGUGUUUCCAAGCCCAUCAAUGAAACAUGAUACUGCUGCUCUGUGUUGACAUGCUUGAAGACCACCCACAUCUCUGCUCACGCCUUCCAUCCUGCUGAAACCAUGGUCUUCUCCGCAGUGUUGACUGCAUCCCGAACUGGGGCAACCAACACAACAUUUGUAGUCUAUGAAAACACUUACGUGAACAUUACAGUCCCUCCACCAUUCCAGCAUCCCGGCCUUGGCCCGCUGCUCAGAUACAGCAUGGACGCGAUGGCUCCCACUGGGAUGAGUUCCUUGACCGUGAAUGGCACAGCCGUACCCCCAACACCAGCAGUUUUUAAGAGCCUAAACUUGCCUCUCCAGAUCAUCCUCUCUGCUAUAAUGAUAUUUAUUCUGUCUGUGUCUUUCCUUGGGAACUUGGUUGUUUGCCUGAUGGUUUACCAAAAAGCUGCCAUGCGCUCUGCAAUUAACAUCCUCCUUGCCAGCCUGGCAUUUGCAGACAUGUUGCUUGCAGUGCUGAACAUGCCCUUCGCCUUGGUAACUAUUCUUACUACAAGAUGGAUUUUUGGGAAAUUCUUCUGUAGGGUAUCUGCUAUGUUUUUCUGGUUGUUUGUGAUAGAGGGAGUAGCCAUCCUGCUCAUCAUUAGCAUCGAUAGGUUCCUUAUUAUAGUCCAGAGGCAGGAUAAGCUAAAUCCAUAUAGGGCUAAGAUUCUAAUUGCGGUUUCUUGGGUGGCUUCCUUUUGUAUAGCUUUUCCUUUGGCUGUAGGAAACCCUGACCUGCAGAUCCCUUCCCGAGCCCCACAGUGUGUGUUUGGGUAUACAACCAACCCGGGUUACCAAGCUUAUGUGAUUUUGAUUUCUCUAGUUUCUUUCUUCCUACCCUUCCUGGUGAUACUGUAUUCAUUUAUGGGCAUCCUCAACACCCUUCGGCACAAUGCCUUGAGGAUCCACAGCUAUCCCGAGGGUAUAUGUCUCAGCCAGGCCAGCAAACUGGGUCUCAUGAGUCUACAGAGACCCUUCCAGAUGAGCAUUGACAUGGGCUUUAAAACGCGUGCCUUCACCACCAUUUUGAUUCUGUUUGCUGUCUUCAUCGUCUGCUGGGCCCCAUUCACCACUUACAGCCUUGUGGCCACAUUCAGUAAGCACUUUUACUAUAAGCACAACUUUUUUGAGAUUAGCACCUGGCUACUUUGGCUCUGCUACCUCAAGUCUGCAUUGAACCCACUGAUUUACUACUGGAGGAUUAAGAAAUUCCAUGACGCCUGCCUGGAUAUGAUGCCCAAGUCCUUCAAGUUUUUGCCACGUCUUCCUGGUCACACGCGGCGGCGGAUACGUCCCAGUGCUGUCUAUGUGUGUGGGGAACACCGGACAGUGGUGUGAAUGUUGCACUGCCUGAUGUUUGGGGUGAUGGUUGCUCUUUAUCGGACUUUGAAUUUUCUUUCACAUGGGUCCUCCAAGUGUACCUUAUUGGUUUUUAUAGGGAGUGUGUGUGUGUGUGUGUGUGUGUGCUCAGUGUAAAGAAAGAAUGGUGAUUAGUUAUAAUUCUAUUACCAAGGAUACACAAUAGGGAAAUGAUCACAAAUGUUACCUCCAGGGUUCAAGAGAAAUCCUUGAUUUAGGGUGGGGAGAUGGUGUUUUGUUUCUUUGAUUGAUUUUGUUUUUGAAGCAGGAAUCAAGACUGUGCUUUAUUGAGCCUGCAGUUACAUUGAAUUGUAGGUGUUUUGGAUGCUGCUAAGGUAUGCUUAAUUGAGUUUAUCAUUUUUUUUUUUUUCCGGAAGACAUUGCUGCUUUUUGUCAUCACAUUGGAGCCAAAACCACACACAUCUCAGUAGAUAAAUAUUUACUUUUAUUGAAAAAAAAUAACCCAAGGCAGUAGUGACAUUUUAAAGGUCAUUAAUAUUUACUUUGGUGCACUUUAAGAAAUAAUGUACAAACUAAUUCAGUCAUGUUUUUCAGAAUUGUUUUUAUACAUGACAUGUUGUGCUUUAGGGAACAUUGCAUUAUCAUUUCUAGGAAGAUAGUUUUUAAAAAAUGUUUUAUCUGCAUGUCCAAUUUUAAAGGAGAGAACAUAAAAAUGUAGACAUUUUUCUAAGCACAAUAGCGAUUCUUCAGAGCAAAGUUGAGGAGACAGGGCAUCCUUGCAAAUUUAAAUGGGAGGCAGUGAAGAGGUAGCUGGCAUGGGCUGUGGUAUUUCCUUUGACUCAAGGAUUCUCACUGAGUCCGGUGGGGAGAAGGACCUACCAUUUAUUGGACACCUGCCAUAUUCCAGGCACUGUGCAAUUUUUUUCCUCACAGCAUCCUGUGAGGUAGGUAUUCUUUUUUUCUUUUUUAAGAAGAAAGUAAGUCUCAGAGAGAUGAAAAUCCUGCCCAAGGUUAAUGGUAGAGCUGGAAUCCAAGAAGGUCUGUCAGAAUCCUGAGACUGCUGUUCUUUGCCAUGUAGACAUACCAUUCAGGUUUAAGUGUUUCAUAGUCAGGAAGGAACUCUGUAUCUUUAAUUUUUUUAGACUAAAACCUUCCUUUUAAAAGUAGUUUCACUUUUUUUUAUUACCAAAAAAAUGUGAAAACAUUACAAAAAGUGUGGAAAAUAGAAAAAAAAUCACAACCACCCUUUUACAGUGGAACUUAAAAAUCUUAGACAAAUAAGGCUAUAAGGAAAUAAGGUGAUUUUUUUUGGUCUACAAAAUAAGUGACUGACAACUAUGGAGAAGUUCAAUACAGCUGUAUGUGGGUCUUGGCCUUGCAGGGUCUGAGGUUUCCAGUUGUCCAGCUGUUUCUAAAUGUUCUGGGCAAAAUAGCACUGUUGCCUGAGGGCUUGCCCAUAGCAGAGCUAGAGUUUGUGAAUGUGCUCAAGAGUGUGUCUCCUACAAAGAAGCAAAGAUAAGUCCUGGUCCGAGCAUAGAGCAAGUUUUAAUAGGGCAGGUCUGGGGUUUCUAAUUAUUUUUCUCUUGCCGACGACCUGCCCCCCCCCCCCACUCCGGUACAUCCAGAGCCUUUGGUCCCCUUGCUCUGUGGCCACUGACACACUUUAUAAAACAGCUGAAGGGGAUGGGGCUGCAGACUAAGGUCAUAAGGGUUGAAAGUGUAGUCUCUUGGCCACAUCAUGGGCUUUAUAAAUAGCUGACUUAACAUGAACACUUUUUGGAUUUUUAUAGCAUCUUUUCAGCAUUUUAGUGCUUUGUGAGCCAGUGGGAAAAAUAAGCCUCUGUUUCUUCAGUUUUACAGCCACGGAGUUGGAUUAGAUGAAUCUUGCCCAACUCUAAUGUGCUUUCCUCCAUGUGAGAGUAGAGAUUUGUGAAGAGCUCGGCUGACGUCAGCAUCAAUCUUUGGUCUCCAGUAUUACUUCUUUGCAGUUUACUUAUUAGCUGUUUCUCAAAAUGGAAUGUCUCCUGAAUGUUGGAAGAGCCCAUAGCACUGUAUCAGGAAUUAGGACUUUGGAAGAUUGAUGACAUCAUGAGGGACCUGAAGAACCCUGCUCUCAAGGCAGUUGUGAUGGUAUUAGAACUCAUUUUCCAGUUAAAGAACUCUUUUGGGACUCAAAGCACUUACUCAGCAUGUUGUUUUGGGAUCAGCCUUUGCUGACAGUCACCUACCUCUUUGGUUUCUAAUUUAUAUUAUUCACAGGUUAAAAUUGGUUUUGUCCACUAGGGAUCUUAUGGAACAUAAACACUGUAGUAGAUACCUAGGAGCACCUGGAAGUGUAUCAUGCUUUCCAUUUUCAAUAUAAACUGGAUUUCAAGCGGAUAAUAAUACGUCUAUUUGAAAUUAUACUUUCUCUGAGGAAAGUCAGCGUGAUCUGUAUUCAUCUCCCAUAUUGGCGGUAGGUCUUGAGACGCCUUUUGUGAUAGGAGUUGAAACUGAGCUUUGCUUCCUUUGUCCUUUCUUAUGAGCAGUCCUUGGGUACUUCUGUGCUGCCUGGUAGGCAGUGCAUUGUUGGGCAAGAGCGAGAGCUCCGGGUGCCUGCUGAGAUGCUCUGUGUUUGUGAGAGAAGACUGUGCGGGGCGUUAGUGGGAACUCAGCACCACCACCCAACAGCAGAUCUCUUUACACUGGAGACUCCUGAUAGGGGGCAGUUUACAAAUCAUUUUGAAUGUGUUUGUUAUGUAUAUAUUUUGGAAGCUUUAAAAAAAAAUGUACUCUGAUGUACCUUUGAAAAAUUUAGGUGCAGAAUCCCAUUUUGCCUAUUGCCCUGUAUUUUCUUGAGGGGGAAAGAAAAAUACCACUACUAAUUAUUGCCGCUGACAGACAUAAUCAGAAAUGUUUUUGUUUUCAUUUUCCUUCUUGCGUAUUAUAGGUAAGAGGCAUGAGAGAGAUCGCGAAAUAUCUGCGAUCAAGAGAGAGUCAAAAGAAAUCCCCAAUAGUCUGGAGUAGUGAUAUUCAAAUUUUAAUAGGAAUUUGUGUCUAAAUAUUCCCAGGGGAGCUUGUUUUUUUAAAUUUUAUUUUAUUAUGUUAUGUUAGUCACCAUACAAUACAUCAUUAGUUUUUGAGGUAGUGUUCCACAAUUCAUUGUUUUCGUUUAACACCCAGUGCUCCAUUCAGUACGUGCCCUCCUUGAUACCCAUCACCGGGCUCACCCAUCCCCCUCCCCCCCUCCCCUCUAGAACCCUCAGUUUGUUUCUCAGAGUGCCUGUUAACAAUACAGAGGCCCGGGUUCCCCAGAGGGGCUGGGGUUGGGCCCAGGAAUGCACACUAUUUCGUUGAACACUCUGAUUCCCAAGCAGGUCCCUGGGUCCCUGAUCCUAAAGCAGGUGUUUCAAGAAGCACUCUUGUUGAAAAUAUACCCAUUUUAAGAUUGUCUGUCUUACACAAAAAUGUUAGUGUUGGAAGCCAUUCAUUAUCUCCAAGUGCACGGGUCAUCUGCAUUGAGAGGAGACUCGACACAUGGUUGUGCCUAGUUUGCUGCCACACGUGUUAGUGCUGGGUCUCGCCAGUGUUAGCUGUAUUUUCUCUCAGCUGGCAAAAUUCUGAUGGGCCAUGUUGUCUCACGCUAGAGCAAAAGGAGUCAUUUAGUAUUUGAAAGUCAUGACUUUCAAGAGUCUAGUUCCUCUAAUGUUUUUCUUUUCCUCUAGAGAGAUGUCUUUACUGUAUAUAAUCUCCAGAAGAGUAUGAGGGGAAUGUACAAUUCACCGAAUUUCCCAUUGCUCUGCUUAUGCCAGUCAUGUUCAAAGGAAGCAUGAAGAAGAUAAGAUAAUCUUUUUACUCUUUGUAUAAUUUCAGUUGCUGACAAAGAUAUUUAAUUUGUUCUUAAUCUUUGCUUUUGUUUACAUGAAAAUAUUUAUGUAUAUAUCACAGAAAAAUUUCUACUUGCUUGACAUUUUAUUCUACUAUGGUUUUUAAGUUUAAAGGACGGCUUAAUUCAAAGUUAUUUUCACAACAUUAGUCCUGCUAAACUGCCUUCACUGAAGACUCAGUUUUCAAAUAAUAAAAAUAUUAAAGCACAUGUUUGUUAUUACAGGUAAAUGGUAAUACAUUUCUUAGCUAUAUAUUGGUACUAGUCCUUUGUAAUUAAAAUUAAUUUAUUUUACAAUAGUACAUGACCUAUAUGAAAAAAAAAACACUUUGAAUUUUGGGUUGUAAUUCAAGAAUAAAAAAGUAUGGUUAUUUGUGCAUAUUAUUACAACCAGGAAAAUAGCUCCCAAUAAGAAAAUGAAUAAAUAUUUAACAUUUCUAAAAGUGGAGUUUUUUUUAAAAGGACUACUUCAUCUUAGAAAGAUUUGUCAUGACUAAUACUUUCUGUUAAAUUAAAAUCUGAGUUGAGUUUUAAAUCGUGCUUCCUUUGGGUUUUUAUUUUCAAAUUAGCUCUCAAACCUGUGUGUAUAUAAUUAUAUUCUAGUUUUAGAAGUUCUCAGAGAAGUUAAAGAUGAGAUGAAACUUGGCAAAAGACCACUAGUAUUAAGAAACAGUUUUAAGGAAUUCUCUCUAGGAGAAUUAUGGAAAUUUUACUGCUGAAUUAUUUAAAAUUGGAUUAUCACUUGGCAAAACCAUGACAAUGUCUGCUCCUAUUUUGACAAAAUGAUUUCAGAUCGCACUUCCAUUUGUAAAACCUAAGUCCUUUCUAAAAUCCACUUUUAAAUCUAUAGGAAAUACCAAUUAUUUAUAAAUGAGUUUCACCUUCUUGCCAUUUAGAUAUGAGGGUUUUCUCUUCUUUCUCACUCCUAUGCAAUAAACAUAUUUCUUUUUAAGUUACAAAAGAAGAUUGCCAUUGAAUCUACAUUUGAUAGUUUUUUUUUUUUUCCUGAAAUGGAAAGAAAGAUAUAGCAAAGUAGAGGAUCAUGUUGAAUUAAAAACAUUUUCAUAUCUAUCAUGAAAAUAGAAAAAGACCAUUUCUCAUCUACCGUGAACCCUACUGAACUCAUACAUAAUAAAGAGAACCUUUAGGAGCAAUUGAGAUAUCAAGGUGCAGUCAAUUACAUUUAGUACAAAAAGAAAAAAAGCUUUAUGGCUAUAUCAGUUAGCACUUAACAAAAGAAACAAAACAGGUAGAAAAUAUUAAGACAUUUAUUGCAAGAACUGGCUUACAUGAUUGUGGGACUCGCUAGACAAAUCUGAAAUCCCAAAGGCAGGCUGUCAGGUAGGGCAAGCUGGAAUUCAUAGAUACUAGCUGACGCUGCUGCCUAAGGUGGAAUUUUCUCCUCCUGGGAGAAACCUCAGUUCUGCUUGGAAGGCCUUUCAACUGAUUGAAUCAGGCCUACUCAGAUUAUCUAGGACAGUCUCUCUUAGUUAACGUGGAUUGAUGAUGGACUUUAAUCACAUCUAUAAAAUACCUUCACAGCAACACUUAGAUUAGUGUUUGAUGGAUGAACUGGGGACUGUAGCCUAUCCAAACUGGCACAGCAAAAGACGAUUACAAUGGUGAAGUUCAAAUUUAAAAUAUAAUAAAAUCCUCCUAUGAUGCUGUACUGCUAGUCCAAAAAAUUCAGUUUGUGUUGAGGUUAGUAAAAUGACUGAGAUAAGGUUGUGGCAGAGGGUGGAGUGCACAUUCUUUUUUUUUAAAUUUUUUUUAAAGAUUUUAUUUAUUUAUUUGAGAAAGAGAGAAUGAGAGACAGAGAGCACGAGAGGGAAGAGGGUCAGAGGGAGAAGCAGACUCCCUGCUGAGCAGGGAGCCUGAUGUGGGACUCGAUCCUGGGACUCCAGGAUCAUGACCUGAGCUGAAGGCAGUUGCUUAACCAACUGAGCCACCCAGGCGCCCUGGAGUGCACAUUCUGACUGCAUUAUAUUCAAAUCCACAUCUUCACAGGGCACAAUAUUUAUCUCUGGUUUUCACUGUAUUUUGAAACUUCCCAAAAGGGAAAAAUAGUCAAUUGAUCAGAAGAUUAUAUAAACCAAUUUCCUUUCUAUGUGAGCUUUCAUUAUUUGUGGUACUUGUGAAGGAUGAUGUCUUUUUAAGGAAUUUGAAAACAUUUAAAAUUGUAACAGUACCAACUCUUAGCAUAAAAGUAUGCUAAUAAUAAUGAUGGGUGCCAUUUUUGGCCGCUUAUAUCAAAAUAUACUUUAUCUAUUUUAAUUCACAGUAUUUUUUCCUUUUUCCAGCUGAGGAAACUGUUGCCAGGGGAUGAAGUAACUUUUUCAGGCAUAGCUUGGAUUCACAGCUUUGGCCUAGUGCCGAGUUCAUAUUUUUCUGUGCCUCCUUGCUUCUAUUAUUCUCUGCUAACAGAACUGAGUCCUUAGUGAGAGGAGCUUACUUAGCAUCAUACUGGAUCAUUACUACUCUACAUGCCCUAGAUAAUAAAUAAUCAUAGCAGUAAAACCUAUACACAAAGUUGUGGAUAUUAACAUAAAACCUAGAUUGAUUUGUUCUUGGUAUUAAGUCAUUAACCGUAUUUGGCUACAUCAGAAAAGAGACUGGUAAGCUGACUGGACCCCUGGCAGCCUUGGAUACACCAUCUCUCAUGGCACAGAACCUUCAUGGAAUUUGCCGACUGUGGCAGAAAUUUUGGGGACACUUAGAUACCCACUACUUCCCUUAAAUUGCAUAGAUCCCAGAAUCUCUUUUGGAAAGUUUUUACCUUGGUGUACAACUGGGGUUCAAUUAUGUACCAAUUUGUCUAAAGUACCAGCAUUUAGGUAUAGUAGCUAAGACUGGGGGUGAACAGGUGGAGGUGAUGAAAUCAAGAGCCCUGGCUUCUCUGUUCCAGCUUUGACAAUCCUGCUAUGUCACCAGAUCCCUCUCAGCCUGGCAGAAGAUGGCAGUGUUUUAAGACGCCCAUUAACUCCUUCCUAAUUGUUCAUCACCCAAGCUUUACCACUAAAAAAACAAGCUGAGCUCAUGGACAAAAGAACCCAGGCAGGUCAAUGUGAUGAGGCCAGGAAUUGCUGCUUCCUGGUGUGUGGGCCAGCAAUUUGUUCUCAGUGUGGACUUAAACUUCGGAGGGGACCUAAGCUGGGUCUGCAUACCCCACAUUGCUCUGGCAUACAGUUCCUGGAGGCCAGGGCAAACAAAAGACCUUUGGGAUCUCAGUAAUCCAAACGAUGAUAGUUUCUUUGUGUUGGGAUUCUUCCUGGGAAGAGGUUCAGACAUGGGGACCACUGGAGACAGGUGAGAUUUUGGUAGUGGGGAGGGACUGAGGCUGGCAAAGUUUCUACUGAGACCUUUAACAAAAAGCUGGAUGCCUCCUUCCUCAGGAAUGUUAGCUUGGUGAAAAGAUCAUGGAAUGCCUAGAGGCUUGUGGCACUUGUCAUGAAGUCCUGAUGUCCCAGAAGCAGGGGACUUCAUGGGUAUUUGCCCUCUUCUGCAUCCUGGGUGCUCAUCUGGGUGCUUUCAAUUUAAUCCCAGAAGGAGCUAACAAACAGUGGAAUUGUGGAGUGUAGAGUUCACACUAUAGUGAAAAUAGCAGGUUCUUUCUCUUCUGGAUAGGAGUUAGUUACCCAUAGUAAUGUACUCAACAACUACUAGCUUACAGAAAAGUUCAAAUAUUAAGUGCGGAUAUGCUGAGGGCUAGGAAGUAGAACAUGAAAACAUUAUCAGCGUGUGGCAGGUACAGACCUAAGUUAAAUAAAAGAAGUUGAGGGGCACCUAGGUGGCUCAGUCAGUUAAGCGUCUAUCUUUGGCUCAGGUCAUGAUCCUGGGGUCCUGGGAUCGGGCCCUGCAUUGGGCUCCCUACUCAGUGGGGAGCCUGCUUCUCCCUCUGCCUGCAACUCCCCCUGCUUGUGCUCUCUCUCCCCCCACCCAAAUAAAUAAACGAAAUCUUAAAAAAAUAAUAAAAGGGGCGCCUGGGUGGCUCAGAUGGUUAAGCGUCUGCCUUCAGCUCAGGUCAUGAUCCCAGGGUCCUGGGACCGAGUCCCGCAUCGGGCUUCCUGCUCCUUGGGAGCCUGCUUCUCCCUCUGCCUCUCUCUCUCUCUGUCUCUCAUGAAUAAAUAAAUAAAAUCUUUAAAAAAAAAAAAAUAAAUAAAAAUAAAUUAAAAAAAAUAAUAAAAGAAGUUGAGAAGUAAACCAACCUUUGAGAAAUGGGGUUUGGAGGAAUGAAGCCAGUAGGUUGAGGCUUCAGCAAGCUAAUGGGUUGCAGAGCUGGCUGUGAGAGAUGGGGCUGGAAGUGUCUGGAUUUGCACAGUUCCUUUGCACCUUGAGGCCUCCCUCUAAGGGCACCUGUGCAAAAACACCUUUGCUGCCCUCACAUCUCUGCCUUCAAUGUACACCAUAUGCUCUGAUUGUCUUCAUGCUCAGCAACCCAACUCACUCAAGGGCCUCCUGGCUUGCUCCCUGUUAUUUUCUCUCUUGUGAAUGCUUUCCUUACUUGAUCCUGACUUUGGGGGAUACUUUUCUAGCAGUUAGUUUUGCUUCCUUCUCAUUACAACUAGAAUUCUCUAGCCAUGCUUCCUUAGGUGACCCUGGUUAAUCAUCUCACCUGGUCCAAUCAUAACUCUGGGUGUAUUACUGCGGCCCCACGAAUGUGACACAAAUGUCAAUCUGUAUAUUUAUUAAAUUAGUGCUAGCUUUUGUGACAACAAACCCCUCAAAUUAGUGGCUUAGCACAAGAAAAGUUCAUGUUUUUCAUAUAACAACCCAAUUCAGUUGUUCCUGAUUAGCUCCAAGUAAUCGCCCAGGAAACCAGGAUGAUAGAAGCUCUACCAUCUUCAGCAUGUGAAUCCCAUUGUGCCAGCACCCAGCAGACUGGAUUAAUCUGGUACCAUGCCUACAAACCUGGGAGAUUUUUACGGGCCAAGCCUGGAAAUGGUGUUCAUCACUUCUCCCCCACAUUCCACUGGAUAGAAUUCAGCCAUAUGUGUCCACCUUCCUGCAGUGUUUGCCCAGAUGAAGAAGAAAUGAGUUUUGGUAAAAACACAGUGUUUUCUGCCACAAUAAAGCCAGUAGUGACCCCUUUGUUUCUGGCCAGAGUAUCCCAAAGAGAGGAGACUACCUGGGAUGAUGGGAUUCUCUGUUUGAUAGUGGCCCAGAAGAAUUACCCCAUGUGCAGGCCCAGCUUCCUUUUUGAUACUUUUAUUUUUAUUUUUUAUUUUUUUAAAGAUUUUAUAUUUAUUGAGAGAGAGCAUGCAUGAGCGAGGGGGAGGUGCAGAGGGAGAGGGAGAAGCAGGCUCCUAGCUGAGCAGGGAGCCCCAUGUGGGGCUCAAUCCCAGGACCCUGGGAUAAUGACCUGAGCCGAAGGCAGACAUUUAACCAAGUGAGGCACCCAGGCGCCCCUUUUCGAUACUUUUAGAAGACAGAUUUGCCUUGGUAUCCUUAUGUCAUUGAUGAACUGUGUACCCCAGGUUGUGAAAUUUAUGGGGAGGCAGAAUGAGUGACAAUCAUUGAUAUAGUCAGGGCCCAAAGUUGCCUAUAUCUCAGAUUCUUUUACCCCUAAAAUACUGUAUUUCAAGGGUGUGUGUGUGUGUCUGUGUGUAAUAAGCCCAGUUAGCUGAUUGAAAGUACAAAGCCCCACCAAGAUCUACUGAGUCAGAAGAUUUAAUAAACAGUGUGACUGAUCCCUGUUCUGCCAUUUAGGAGGUUCUCUUUCGUCCAUUGUUUCCAUACCUACAUCUCAGAUGGAUAUGAGGAGAAUGAGCUAUCUAAUAGUAACAUCUUGGAGCAGUCUGCUUCAGGUUAGCAAAGUUUUGGGGUUCUGGGAGUUGAUUUAGAGCUCAAGUAAAGCAACUUCCUUAACAACUUAUGAAGGUUUCUACCUCCCACUGCCCUUUUCAUUCCCUGAGUUCCAUGGGCUAGGAACCCAAAGUCAGAUGUCCUAUCAAAACGUAGUUUGUGAACUGUGUUCAGUCUCUUAGCAGCCAGCCUUGCGUUAGUCUCAGACAUUGGCUCAUGCACUUGACUCUCAGCUGAAUGGCUUCCAUUUUGCUCUGUGCCUAGGGAUAAAAUUAAACCAUAGCUAUGGUAAGAGUCACCAGUAAUUUGCCUUUUGCUUGCAGGCUCAUUUCCCAGCUUCUUUGCAAUUAGGUUAGUUGUUCUCUUUGUCAGUUUAGAGUGCAUAACAGCAGAUAGUUGAAUGGGAAAAUAUCCCAAUUUUGGUCUCCUGGAACAACUCCCCCCUGCCUUUCCUGGCACGAACCUUAGCUGACAGGAAAGCAUUCCAUUUUUCCAACACUGGUUUCAUUUCAUUGGACUUUUAGCCAUCUUGGAUUGCAGGCUACAAACAGAAGUGGACUUCAUUAGCAUAUCCCUACUUUUCAUUCCUUUCUGCUUUCAAAUGGCCAGUUUCAGCCUAAGUGAAUCUUUUCUUUGUAGGCCCUUCUAGAAAGCCACAAUAAAUAACAUUCUCCAAACUCCUAACUCAUUUCCUGUCAAGUCUUUUAUUGGGGAAGCUGCAAGAGGCACAUGGUCUCAGUCCCCAGGUACAAAUAGAAGACGAGAUACUCCUUAGUUACUUUCUCCCCAGUUUUUGCCUAUUCCAUCUUGUUUAUCCAUUACUUACACUAUGCCACUUCUGGUUUCCUUCCUUCCUUCCUUCUUUCCUUCCUUCCUUCCUUCCUUCCUUCCUUCCUUCCUUCCUUCCUUCCUUCCUUCCUCCCACCCUCCCU